rnacentral:rRNA from 1 species
UACGGAGGGGGCUAGCGUUGUUCGGAAUUACUGGGCGUAAAGCGCACGUAGGCGGACUGUUAAGUCGGGGGUGAAAUCCUGGGGCUCAACCUCAGAAUUGCCUCCGAUACUGGCAGUCUCGAGUGCGGGAGAGGUGAGUGGAAUUCCCAGUGUAGAGGUGAAAUUCGUAGAUAUUCGCAAGAACACCAGUGGCGAAGGCGGCUCACUGGCCCGGUACUGACGCUGAGGUGCGAAAGCGUGGGGAGCAAACGGG